rnacentral:rRNA from 1 species
UACGAAGGGGGCUAGCGUUGCUCGGAAUUACUGGGCGUAAAGCGCACGUAGGCGGGUUCUUAAGUCGGUGGUGAAAUCCUGGAGCUCAACUCCAGAACUGCCUUCGAAACUGGGAAUCUUGAGUCCGGGAGAGGUGAGUGGAACUGCGAGUGUAGAGGUGAAAUUCGUAGAUAUUCGGAAGAACACCAGUGGCGAAGGCGGCUCACUGGACUGGUAUUGACGCUGAGGUGCGAAAGCGUGGGGAGCAAACAGG